rnacentral:rRNA from 1 species
UACGGAGGGAGCUAGCGUUGUUCGGAAUUACUGGGCGUAAAGCGCGCGUAGGCGGACCUGCAAGUCGGGGGUGAAAGCCCGAGGCUCAACCUCGGAACUGCCUUCGAUACUGCGGGUCUCGAGUCCGGGAGAGGUGAGUGGAAUUCCUAGUGUAGAGGUGAAAUUCGUAGAUAUUAGGAAGAACACCAGUGGCGAAGGCGGCUCAGCUGGCCCGGUACUGACGCUGAGACGCGAAAGCGUGGGGAGCAAACAGG